CUCACCAGUGACAUCAUCCUACAGUGGUGCCCCUCUCACCAGAUUGCGUCUUAUAGGAUUCGUGAAGGGCAUAUCUUCUGGGCCUUCCCAUUGUGGAGGAUUAGGUUUUACACAACCUAUCUACUCUGGCAUUGCAAUUUCCCUGAGCCUUGUGACUUCAUUCUGGGUUCAGGUAAAUUGCAGCUACUUCACACCUGGUAGGUCUGAGACAAGCCUGUGAGAAGGAAACAGAGGACAAACACUGUGGAGCACAGUUGUUAGCUGGCACAUCUUCCUCAGUGGAACGGUGGAAAAACAAAACAAAAACCACGCAUGUACACACGGCUAUAUUACUAAAGAUUCUAUUAAUGAACAGAACUGAUAGAAUGAAUCUCUGUAUGCAUGUUGAAAGCGGAUUUACUAGAAUGUCUCACUAACAGUGGCUGUCUACCAACGGAAAGUUGAAGAAUCCAGUGUGGUUCAGUCUAUGUGGCUGGAUGUCUGUCUGUCUUCAGUAUAUACCAGAGUUUCAAAGAAGUAGGGCUUUUUAAUGCCAGAAAAGAAAAGAAAAGAGAGAAAGAAAGAAAGAAGAA
rnacentral:lncRNA from 1 species